AGCUGCUGGUUGAGUGUGUGAAGAACAAAGACUUAAAGAAGAUGAGUGCAGACUUGGGGUGAGACCAAAACUGUCAACUGAGAAGGUUCUUCAUUUCAUCCAAGUCUUCUUUCUGUUCUCUCUUUCAGUGUCUUUGUUUCAUCAGUGGUUGAACUCUGAUGAUCAUUUUAUCUGCUCUUAGAGGUGUGGUAAAGACCCUCACUACUUUUAAGUUAGAUACAGGUCAGUGCAGUAACCAGUCACCUUCUAGACACAUUUGAGUGAUUACAUUCACUCUACUUGGAAGUCAAAGAAUUUAGAUUUUUGCCUGAUAAUUACGAGGCCAAAAAGCAGAAAAGGCUUAAAAAGACAUUCAAAACAAAAACCCUUAUCUGCCAGCUGUGUUUUAUUCAGUUAUAGUAGUUUACAGCUUUCAUUGUCUGUUUUCUUUCAUUUUGAGGAAACUUGUUUAUUGUAGUCUUUAAUUAUCUACCACUAAUAAGAAAAUAAGAAAAAUAUAUUGCCUAAUAUGUCAUGGGAACACAAUCUGCUUUCUUCCUCAGGAGUGAAACGCUCCAACGUACACAAGAAUAUGCAAUCAGUGAAGUUACACUUCAGAUUCUUUGAGAGACUAACAUGCACGUGUGAUUAACAGACAAUGGAUUUUAAUUAACAUAAGCAGUAAACAGUUGCUUUAUAAUUUAAAAAUAUAUUUAAAAAAAAAGCAAAUAUCUUAUCUGUGAUUAAGUCAAGUCACAUUUAUUUAUAAAGAAAUAAAACAAAGAAAGCAGUUUGAGUUUGUUGUAUCUAGAACAAGAAAAGUGAAAAACAACUUCCGAAUGCAGUAAUUCACAGAGUGACCACAGGAGGGCGCAACUUCACCUUUAAACUCCAUCUUUACACAUUAGUAUCUCAAACUAACUAAUUUAUCUGCUUCUUGGACACUUUGGAGAACGACAGGGAGAGGAAGAGAGAAACUGGAGGUAAACAUCAUGAACACUGAAUUUAUCUGUGGGUAAGAAUUCAGUCAGUGUCCUAAAGACCGGAAAACAGGUUAGCUUCGUCCUGCUAACGAACGCAGUUAGUCGGGCGGUUAAUGUUACCAUGGUGACCGAGUUUGACUUUCUCUUGUUGCUAGGUUACCAAGAGUUAAAAGAAACAAACAUAAAAACAAGUAAAUUACAUUAAUAAAUAUUUUUUAUUAAUAAAACAUUUGAUUUUUGACUUAGUCUUGUUUAUGUGUCGUCUUAUUUAUAACUUUUUAAUUUCUUCGAUAGAAACGUUCUGCGUCACUUCCGGUUGAAGCUUCCGGUAAUCACGCACAGGUGUGUUCAGGUGUUCUCAGGUGUGUAUAUCAUUGUCUCGAGCAGGUAAGCGGUGCGGACCGCGUGCAGCGUGGCAGCAUGUUGGAAGAAGAAGGAGCCGGGGAAGGAAACAUGAAGUCUAGAUACUCAGAACUCUGUUGACGUCUUCCAGGAGGAUCUUCCGUCGGUGGCCGUCUUCCUGCUCAGGUUGGAGACUCAAAGCUUUCUUAAUGUUGUUUUAUUAUGUUCCAGGUUUUAGGUCUUUAUA